GCUGUUUGGAUAUGAAAUAUAUACAAUAUAUGUGAAGUCUAUAUGGUUUUUGUUUUUUUUGUUUUUAUGAUAGUAAAGGAGUCCAGGGGUUCCAGCAGCUUUCUGCCCUACUGAGUAAUUUAUUUUUAUAGAAUAUAUUUUUUUCUAUCAAUAAGUUUUCCUUCAAAUAAUUUUUAAGUGCUAUUAUAUUGGUUUGUUCCAUAGCUAAUUUGCUUCUAUAGAUGUAGAAUUUUGUUAACAGA
rnacentral:lncRNA from 1 species